rnacentral:rRNA from 1 species
UCAGGAUGAACGCUGGCGGCGUGCCUAAUACAUGUAAGUCGAGCGAGAAUCAGUGAUGUAGAGAUCGUCAAAGCGGAUCUGAGGAAAGCGGCGGACGGGUGAGUAACGCGUAGGCAACCUGCCCUUAGCAGAGGGAUAGCCAUUGGAAACGAUGAUUAAAACCUCAUAAUGCUGUUUUUACACAUGUAGAGACAGCCAAAGAUUUAUCGGCUAAGGAUGGGCCUGCGUCUGAUUAACUAGUUGGUGAGGUAACGGCCCACCAAGGUGACGAUCAGUAGCCGACCUGAGAGGGUGAUCGGCCACAUUGGAACUGAGACACGGUCCAAACUUCUACGGAAGGCAGCAGUAAGGAAUCUUGCACAAUGGGGGAAACCCUGAUGCCAGCAACGCCGCGUGAACGAUGAAGGCCUUAGGGUUGUAAAGUUCUGAUCUGUGGGAAGAAGAAGUGACGGUACCACAGGAGAAAGCCCCGGCUAAAUACGUGCCAGCCGCUGC